rnacentral:rRNA from 1 species
UACGUAGGGGGCAAGCGUUGUCCGGAUUUAUUGGGCGUAAAGAGCGUGUAGGCGGCCAGGUAGGUCUGCUGUGAAAACUCGAGGCUCAACCUCGAGACGUCGGCGGAAACCAUCUGGCUAGAGUCCGGAAGAGGAGAGUGGAACUCCUGGUGUAGCGGUGAAAUGCGUAGAGAUCAGCAGGAACACCCGUGGCGAAGGCGGCCCCCUGGGCCGUACCUGACGCUGAGGCGCGAAGGCUAGGGGAGCGAACGGGG